GAUGAAGAACGUAGCGAACUGCGAUAAGUAGUGUGAAUUGCAGAAUUCAGUGAAUCAUCGAAUCUUUGAACGCACAUUGCGCCCCUUGGUAUUCCAUGGGGCAUGCCUGUUCGAGCGUCAUUUGUACCUUCAAGCCUUGCUUGGUGUUGGGUGUUUGUCUCGCCUCUGCGCGCAGACUCGCCUCAAAACAAUUGGCAGCCGGCGUAUUGAUUUCGGAGCGCAGUACAUCUCGCGCUUUGCACUCAGAACGACGACGUCCAAAAGUACAUUUUUACACUCUUGACCUCGGAUCAGGUAGGGAUACCCGCUGAACUUAAGCAUAUCAAUAAGCGGAGGA
rnacentral:misc_RNA from 1 species